rnacentral:rRNA from 1 species
AGGAUCCCCAUAGUAAUGGCGAAUGAACAGGGAUGAGCUCAGCAUGGAAAUUGGGGCCUGUGGCUUUGACUUGUAAUCUUGUGAGGCAUUGCCAACAGAGGCGCAGAUGUAAGUCUCUUGGAAAAGAGCAUCAAUGAGGGUGAGAGUCCUGCUUGUCAUUUGCAGCCCCCCCUGUGCACGGUGUGCCUUCUAAGAGUCACGUUCCUCGGGAUUGGAGCGCAAAGUGGGUGGUAACUUUCAUCUGAAGCUAAACAAUGGUCUGGGACCGAUAGGAAACAAGUACCAUGAGGGAAAGGUGAAAAGGACUUUGGAAAGAGAGUUAAAAGUGCCUGAAAUUGCUGAAGGGGAAGCGAAUGGAACCAGUGGCGUUGGGUGAGAUUGUCGCAUGCUGCAAGGAUUGGUUGCUGCUUCAGCGCAAGCGUUUUGGCAAUUGUUGAGCUGUACGUGUGUGGUGUGUCUUGCCCUGUGUGUCAUUGUGGGUUUAUGCAUUAAGACAAUUCAAAAUGCAUGGCAAUAUGUUUCUGAAUCUAUGAAUGCAUCUUGUUAUGUUUAUGCAUAAGCUUCAUGCUGAAUGUCUGGCUGCAGAGCUUGCCGUCCGGAGCCUUGUGCUGGGAUGAGUUGAGCAUUCCUCUGCACAGAUCUUGACUAAAUGUCAUCGCC